GACGAACGCUGGCGGCGUGCCUAACACAUGCAAGUCGAACGGAGAGUUAGCAAUAACUCUUAGUGGCGAACGGGUGAGUAACGCGUAGGCAAUCUGCCUUCUAGAUGGGGACAACAUCCCGAAAGGGGUGCUAAUACCGAAUGUUGUAUGAUCUUCGCAUGGAGAUGAUACUAAAGGUGGCCUCUGAAUAUGCUACCGCUAGAAGAUGAGCCUGCGUCUGAGUAGCUAGUUGGAGGGGUAACGGCCCACCAAGGCUUCGAUCAGUAGCCGGUCUGAGAGGAUGAACGGCCACACUGGGACUGAGACACGGCCCAGACUCCUACGGGAGGCAGCAGUGGGGAAUCUUCCGCAAUGGACGAAAGUCUGACGGAGCAACGCCGCGUGAGUGAAGAAGGUUUUCGGAUCGUAAAGCUCUUUCGUUAGGGACGAACGUAUUUCUUGUAAAUAAUGAGAGAUAGUGACGGUACCUAAAUAAGAAGCCACGGCUAACUACGUGCCAGCAGCCGCGGUAAUAC
rnacentral:rRNA from 1 species